CCUACGGGAGGCAGCAGUGGGGGAUAUUGCACAAUGGGGGAAACCCUGAUGCAGCGACGCCGCGUGGGUGAAGAAGCGCCUCGGCGCGUAAAGCCCUGUCAGCAGGGAAGAAAAUGACGGUACCUGAAGAAGAAGCCCCGGCUAACUACGUGCCAGCAGCCGCGGUAAUACGUAGGGGGCAAGCGUUAUCCGGAUUUACUGGGUGUAAAGGGGGCGCAGACGGCGAUGCAAGCCAGGAGUGAAAGGCCGGGGCCGAACCCCGGGACUGCUCUGGGAACUGUGUGGCUAGAGUGCAGGAGGGGCAAGCGGAAUUCCUGGUGUAGCGGUGAAAUGCGUAGAUAUCAGGAGGAACACCAGUGGCGAAGGCGGCCUGCUGGACUGCAAAGGACGUUGAGGCCCGAAAGCGUGGGGAGCAAACAGGAUUAGAUACCCGAGUAGUC
rnacentral:rRNA from 1 species